CCCUUAGAUGUCCUGGGCCGCACGCGCGUUACACUGAUGCAUUCAACGUGCUUAUAACCUUGGCCGAGAGGCCUGGGCAAUCUUGUUAACGUGCAUCGUGAUAGGGAUAGAUUAUUGAAAUUAUUAAUCUUGAACGAGGAAUUCCUAGUAAACGCAGAUCAUCAAUCUGCAUUGAUUACGUCCCUGCCCUUUGUACACACCGUCCGUCGCACCUACCGAUUGGAUGGUCCGGUGAAGCCUCGGGAUUGUGGUUCUUGCCGCUUUAUUGUGGCGUGACCGCGAGAACUUGUCUAAACCUUAUCAUUUAGAGGAAGGUGAAGUCGUAACA
rnacentral:rRNA from 1 species